rnacentral:rRNA from 1 species
GACGAACGCUGGCGGCGUGCUUAACACAUGCAAGUCGAACGGAAAGGCCCUGCUUUUGUGGGGUGCUCGAGUGGCGAACGGGUGAGUAACACGUGAGUAACCUGCCCUUGACUUUGGGAUAACUUCAGGAAACUGGGGCUAAUACCGGAUAGGAGCUCCUGCUGCAUGGUGGGGGUGGGAAAGUUUCGGCGGUUGGGGAUGGACUCGCGGCUUAUCAGCUUGUUGGUGGGGUAGUGGCUUACCAAGGCUUUGACGGGUAGCUGGCCUGAGAGGGUGACCGGCCACAUUGGGACUGAGAUACGGCCCAGACUCCUACGGGAGGCAGCAGUGGGGAAUAUUGCACAAUGGGCGGAAGCCUGAUGCAGCAACGCCGCGUGCGGGAUGACGGCCUUCGGGUUGUAAACCGCUUUCGCCUGUGACGAAGCGUGAGUGACGGUAAUGGGUAAAGAAGCACCGGCUAACUACGUG